GACGAACGCUGGCGGCGUGCCUAAUACAUGCAAGUAGAACGCAGUUGCGAACGGGUGAGUAACGCGUAGGUAACUGCCUCAUAGCGGGGGAUAACUAUUGGAACCGAUAGCUAAUCCCGCAUACUGUGAGAUGGACCUGCGUUGUAUUAGCUAGUUGGUGAGGUAAAGGCUCACCAAGGCGACGAUACAUCGCCGAGCUGAGAGGGGGAACGGCCACACUGGGACUGAGACACGGGCAAGAAUCCGACGGGAGGACGCAGUAGGGAAUCUUUGGCAAUGGGGGGAAGGCUGACCGAGCAACGGCGCGGUGUAGAAGAAGGUUUUCGGAUCGUAAAGCUCUUUUGUUAGAGAAGCGGUACCUAACCAGAAAGGGACGGCUAACUACGUGCCAGCAGCCGCGGUAAUAC
rnacentral:rRNA from 1 species